rnacentral:rRNA from 1 species
UAGGGAAUCUUCGGCAAUGGACGAAAGUCUGACCGAGCAACGCCGCGUGAGUGAAGAAGGUUUUCGGAUCGUAAAACUCUGUUGUUAGAGAAGAACAAGGACGUUAGUAACUGAACGUCCCCUGACGGUAUCUAACCAGAAAGCCACGGCUAACUACGUGCCAGCAGCCGCGGUAAUACGGAGGGUGCAAGCGUUAAUCGGAAUUACUGGGCGUAAAGCGCACGCAGGCGGUCUGUCAAGUCGGAUGUGAAAUCCCCGGGCUCAACCUGGGAACUGCAUUCGAAACGGGCAGGCUAGAGUCUUGUAGAGGGGGGUAGAAUUCCAGGUGUAGCGGUGAAAUGCGUAGAGAGCUGGAGGAAUACCGGUGGCGAAGGCGGCCCCCUGGACGAAGACUGACGCUCAGGUGCGAAAGCGUGGGGAGCAAACAGG